rnacentral:sRNA from 1 species
GCUGGGUGUGGUGGUGUAUGCCUGUAAUCCCAGCAGCCCAGGAGGCUGAGACAGGAGGACUGAGGUGCUAAGCAACUCAGUGAGACCCAGUCUCUA